rnacentral:rRNA from 1 species
AGCGAACGCUGGCGGCAGGCCUAACACAUGCAAGUCGAACGAACUCUUCGGAGUUAGUGGCGGACGGGUGAGUAACGCGUGGGAACGUGCCUUUUGGUUCGGAAUAACUCAGGGAAACUUGUGCUAAUACCGAAUGUGCCCUUCGGGGGAAAGAUUUAUCGCCAUUAGAGCGGCCCGCGUCUGAUUAGCUAGUUGGUGAGGUAACGGCUCACCAAGGCGACGAUCAGUAGCUGGUCUGAGAGGAUGACCAGCCACACUGGGACUGAGACACGGCCCAGACUCCUACGGGAGGCAGCAGUGGGGAAUCUUGCGCAAUGGGCGAAAGCCUGACGCAGCCAUGCCGCGUGAAUGAUGAAGGUCUUAGGAUUGUAAAAUUCUUUCACCGGGGACGAUAAUGACGGUACCCGGAGAAGAAGCCCCGGCUAACUUUGUG